UGACGAGUGGCGGACGGGUGAGUAAUGCUUGGGAACUUGCCUUUGCGAGGGGGAUAACAGUUGGAAACGACUGCUAAUACCGCAUAAUGUCUUCGGACCAAACGGGGCUUCGGCUCCGGCGCAGAGAGAGGCCCAAGUGAGAUUAGCUAGUUGGUGAGGUAAAGGCUCACCAAGGCGACGAUCUCUAGCUGUUCUGAGAGGAAGAUCAGCCACACUGGGACUGAGACACGGCCCAGACUCCUACGGGAGGCAGCAGUGGGGAAUAUUGCACAAUGGGGGAAACCCUGAUGCAGCCAUGCCGCGUGUGUGAAGAAGGCCUUCGGGUUGUAAAGCACUUUCAGUUGUGAGGAAAAGUUAGUAGUUAAUACCUGCUAGCCGUGACGUUAACAACAGAAGAAGCACCGGCUAACUCCGUGCCAGCAGCCGCGGUAAUACGGAGGGUGCGAGCGUUAAUCGGAAUUACUGGGCGUAAAGCGCACGCAGGCGGUUUGUUAAGCUAGAUGUGAAAGCCCCGGGCUCAACCUGGGAUGGUCAUUUAGAACUGGCAGACUAGAGUCUUGGAGAGGGGAGUGGAAUUCCAGGUGUAGCGGUGAAAUGCGUAGAUAUCUGGAGGAACAUCAGUGGCGAAGGCGACUCCCUGGCCAAAGACUGACGCUCAUGUGCGAAAGUGUGGGUAGCGAACAGGAUUAGAUACCCUGGUAGUCCACACCGUAAACGCUGUCAACUAGCUGUGUGUGAUUUUAAAUCGUGCGUAGCGAAGCUAACGCGCUAAGUAGACCGCCUGGGGAGUACGGCCGCAAGGUUAAAACUCAA
rnacentral:rRNA from 1 species